UGAGGAAUCUUGCGCAAUGGGGGCAACCCUGACGCAGCAACGCCGCGUGAGUGAGGAAGGUCUUCGGAUCGUAAAGCUCUGUCAGUUGAGAAGAAAUGGCUGGAGGUUAAUACCCUUCGGUCUUGACGGUACCAACAGAGGAAGCACCGGCUAACUCCGUGCCAGCAGCCGCGGUAAUACGGGGGGUGCAAGCGUGGUUCGGAAUUAUUGGGCGUAAUGAGCGUGUAGGAGGCCUGAUAUGUCCGAUGUGAAAGCCCUGGGCUUAACCCAGGAAGUGCAUUUGAAACUGUCAGGCUCGAGUAGGGGAGAGGGAAGUGGAAUUCCUGGUGUAGAGGUGAAAGUCGUAGAUAUCAGGAGGAACACCGGUGGCGAAGGCGACUUCCUGGCCCUAUACUGACGCUGAGACGCGAGAGCGUGGGUAGCAAACA
rnacentral:rRNA from 1 species